GUAGGUGGCAAGCGUUGUCCGGGAAUUAUUGGGGCGUAAAGCGCGCGCAGGCGGUUCUUUAAGUCUGAUGUGAAAGCCCACGGGCUCAACCGUGGGAGGGUCAUUGGAAACUGGAGAACUUGAGUACAGAAGAGGAAAGCGGAAUUCCACGUGUAGCGGUGAAAUGCGUAGAGAUGUGGAGGAACACCAGUGGCGAAGGCGGCUUUCUGGUCUGUAACUGAUGCUGAGGCGCGAAAGCGUGGGGAGCAAACAGGAUUAGAUACCCUGGUAGUCCACGCCGUAAACGAUGAGUGCUAAGUGUUAGGGGGUUUCCGCCCCUUAGUGCUGCAGCUAACGCAUUAAGCACUCCGCCUGGGGAGUACGGCCGCAAAGGCUGA
rnacentral:rRNA from 1 species